AGAGUUUGAUCCUGGCUCAGAUUGAACGCUGGCGGCAGGCCUAACACAUGCAAGUCGAGCGGUAACAGGAGAAGCUUGCUUCUUGCUGACGAGCGGCGGACGGGUGAGCAAUACUUGGGUAUCUGCCCGAUAGUGGGGGACAACACGGGGAAACUCGUGCUAAUACCGCAUACGCCCUACGGGGGAAAGCAGGCUUCGGCUUGCGCUAUCGGAUGAGCCCAAGUCGGAUUAGCUAGUUGGUAGGGUAAAGGCCUACCAAGGCGACGAUCCGUAACUGGUCUGAGAGGGUGAUCAGUCACAC
rnacentral:rRNA from 1 species